rnacentral:misc_RNA from 1 species
UUUCCGUAGGUGAACCUGCGGAAGGAUCAUUGAAUCUAUCAAUACCCACACUGUGAACUACUAUGUCUGGCCCCUUGGCUGGCGAGUGCCGCAAGGCAUUUCGUCAGAUGAGGCGUCCUUUCUGGCAUUAACUUGCUUGAUUGGGCGGGCUUGGCGCAGCGCCAAGCAUUCAAUUAAUUUUGAAUGUGCUGUGCUGGGUUGGUCUCUUAUCAACAACCCACACCCAACCAAAUCUUAUUAAUAUACCUUACAGCCGGCCUGGCCGCUGUAUUAAACCAAGACAACUCUCAACAACGGAUAUCUUGGCUCUU